UACGUAGGGUGCGAGCGUUGUCCGGAAUUAUUGGGCGUAAAGAGCUUGUAGGCGGUUUGUCGCGUCUGCUGUGAAAAUCCGGGGCUCAACCCCGGACUUGCAGUGGGUACGGGCAGACUGGAGUGUGGUAGGGGAGACUGGAAUUCCUGGUGUAGCGGUGGAAUGCGCAGAUAUCAGGAGGAACACCGAUGGCGAAGGCAGGUCUCUGGGCUACUACUGACGCUGAGAAGCGAAAGCAUGGGGAGCGAACAGG
rnacentral:rRNA from 1 species